GGGCAAUUGCUCCUGAGACCCAACAGGCAGCAACGGUCCCAAGGUCUUUCUGCCCCCGAUAACAGAAAAUCUCUUUUUCGUCUUAAAAAAAAAAAAAAAAAAAAAAAAAGCCUGUGGAAGACUCAGCAGAACCCAGGAAGCGCAGAAUUGGGAGAAAAGUCUUUGGCUGGGGCUGUUUCAAGUCUCUGGUUCAAUGGGCUGCUCGAAGCCAGGACUGGGUAAUUCUUUCCAGACGUCUUGACUUCUCCUUCCCCGCCGUUGUUGCCCUUCUGCCUCCUCCAACUUAAGGGGGUCUUAACAAGUGAGCUGGAUCUUCUGAGGGGUGGACUUCUUUGGAACUCGACAGGACCUUGAAGACUGGGUUCUUAGUCCUUAUCACAUAUAUGGGCUAUAAUGAAUAAGUCUAAACAGAAAAGUCGAAUAAACUGGAAAUGAUGCUUUCAUCACGUCGCACAAGAAAAACACAUUUGUUGUUUCUCGCCUCUUGUAAUUCAUGACCCAUAAGACAAAAGUAAAAUGUUCUCUGACUGCAAAUGGAUGUAAAAACUGAUUAUACAGCUACACAUUUCUGUCAUCCUCCCAUCUCUACCCCAAAGAAAGAGGAGCUGUUUGGAUCAGAAGAUGACAUCCUUUCACCCAUCCCUUUCAGGUUUUGACAUCCUAAAAUGUACCUUAUGGAACCCAUACCUGUUAUGUUUUCACCUGUACAAGGCAACAGAGAAAACAUGGGAGGAAGCAAAGUGAAGAACACAGAUUUCACAGAUGGGAUGCCUGGCUCAAAUUCCAGCUUGACCGCUGGUAGCUGUGUGACCCUCGGCAAGUUACUUGACCUCUCUCUACUCAGUGUCCUCAUCUGUCAGCAACCAGAAGCCAGGCAUGAAGAAAGAUACAAAAAACUACGAGUUUUUUCAUUUUGCCUCAUAUGCUGGAUAAAUAUGGAUUAUGUGAAUAAAUAAAUGACCAGGCAUCCUG
ensembl:lncRNA HAS2-AS1 HAS2 antisense RNA 1